GGAAGCGUGGCCGAGCGGUUUAAGGCAGCAGUCUUGAAAACUGCCGACGGUGGAAGCCGUCCGUGAGUUCGAAUCUCACCGCUUCCG
rnacentral:tRNA from 1 species